rnacentral:ncRNA from 1 species
UUUGGGGGUGCCCCAACUUGGCAAUAAUAUGCCAAUGGCUGAGAACAGACCCCGUUAAACCUGAUCCGGAUAAUACCGGCGGAGGAAAAAA